CUACCCGGGUUUCUAAUCCCGUUCGCUCCCCUAGCUUUCGUGCCUCAGCGUCAGAAAAGACCCAGUAAGCCGCUUUCGCUCCUGGUGUUCCUUAGGAUAUCAACGCAUUUCACCGCUCCACCCUAAGUUCCGCUUACCUCUAUCUUCCUCGAGCCCGGUAGUUUUGGGCGCAAUUCCUCGGUUGAGCCGAGGGCUUUCACACCCAACUUUCCGGGCCGCCUACGCACCCUUUAAGCCCAGUGAUUCCGAAUAACGUUUGGACGGUUCGUCUUACCGCGGCUGCUGGCAC
rnacentral:rRNA from 1 species